CAGCAGCCGCGGUAAUACCGGCGGCCCGAGUGGCGGUCACUAUUAUUGGGCUUAAAGCGUCCGUAGCCGGGUUGGGAAGUCCUCCGGGAAAUCUGGCCGCUUAACGGUCAGAAUGCCGGAGGAUACUCCCAGCCUAGGGAGCGGGAGAGGCCGAGGGGAUUCCCGGAGGAGGGGGGAAAUCCUAUAAACCCGGGAGGACCACCUGUGGCGAAGGCGCUCGGCUGGAACGCGUCCGACGGUGAGGGACGAAGGCCAGGGGAGCAAACCGGAUUAGAUACCCGGGUAGUCCUGGCUGUAAACGAUGCGGACUUUGUGUCGGACAAGCUAUGAGCUUGUCCGGUGCCGGAGGGAAACCGUUAAGUCCGCCGCCUGGGGAGUACGGCCGCAAGGCUGAAACUUAAAGGAAUUGGCGGG
rnacentral:rRNA from 1 species